GUGUAUAGCCAUACUGCCCUGAUCACACCUGAUCUCGGAAGCUAAGCAAGGUCAGGCUAGUUAGUACUUAGAUGGGAGACCCCACAAGAAUACUGGGUGCUGUAGGCU
rnacentral:rRNA from 1 species